rnacentral:lncRNA from 1 species
CGACAACCUAAUUCCACUUCUUCACUUCUUCAAUUGAGGUAGAAAGAUUCAGCAAAAAUAUAUAUGUAUUUGAAUUUCCAGCAAACAAACUUGAAGGAAGUUAAGAAUUUUUUCAGAGAAACUCGGCUUGAAGAGAUCCGGAAGCGAGAAUUGUCAUAUAAAUUCGUAUAGGUAAUUUUCACCUCAGAAUUCGGCUUUCAUUUCAGGACUUGAAACUAGCUAGUGUCGAUUUAUUUAUGAGUGAAUUCCUCUGCGAUUUCCCCAUUUGAAUUACUAUAAUUUUUUUACUGCACGAGUGAGUGGUUCGUUUUGCCCCCAUUUGGUUUAAUUUAUUUAGUUAUUUGGCUUUUCAGUUCAAGAUUUUUAUUUCUUGAACGAAAUACAUUUAAUCUCUGUCAUCUCCUCCAAUGCCUGAUCUACUAAAAUGGGUCAAAAUCAGUUGAAAUGUAACGCACUGAUGAGUGAACAUUAUGCAUAAUCUACUGCAGAUUUAAUGUUACUACAGAUUAGUUGUGUGUAAUUGCCAGACAAAAAAGGAAAUGCAGAGUUAAAAUCUUAAGAAAUGCAUUCUUAUUAAUUUAUUUGCAAAGAGAAAUUGAUUGACAACUUAAAAAAGCUGAAACAAUAAAAAAUAAUAGAGGUCAUGUGGUGCUGAAACGUUCAACUGCUGCUGGAAAAUGGUUUUCUUUUUAUCAUCAUUUGAUAUAUAUAUAUAUAUAUAUAUAUAUAUAUAUAUAUACAUAUUUUUUUUUUUAACGAGGUGUCCCAGCUUACGCUAGACUAUAUCCUCGUCCUUGAACUUCCGGCCCCUAAGCAGCUCAGGGAGGUAAAUCGCAUCAUUUGAUAUAUAUACUUAUAAAGAACUGCCCACGCUUAAUAUUGUCUGGCGUUCAUCUGUUUUUUUUUUUUUUUUUACCUCGGCUUUAUGUAUCAGACUAUGUGUCAGACAAAGCUGAGAUUCUAACAAGAUUUAGGAAUGUCUCUACUUGUGUGUGUGAGAGAGAGAUCUUUGGCACGUGAUGAUUGUGGUGGUGGUAGUUAGCUGGAAAGACCAUGGGUAUUGUUGCGGUAUGUGUGUGUGUGAGAGAGAGAUCUUUGGCACAUGGAUAUAAUGCUCUCUGAUUAAUGUAUAUUAUCACUUCAAUGAAACUUUAUCCACAUAUACCAUCACUAUUAAAUCCUAACCAACUUUUGUAUUUAUAUGAAUGCUUAGAAAAACUGAUCACAAGAAUAUCAAUCUGUCAAAGUAAUCAAUAGAUUACCUCCAAAGAGUAAGAUCCCAGUCUGCUUCAACUUUUUGAGACGCUACUUUUAAAUAUAAGACAUGUACGGAUGAAAUUCUUACCAAAUGCAUCCCUUUCCCAUAUGCAACUAAAUAUGGUAAAUUAUCUGUUUAAACCAUCAAUCAUCAUCAUAGUCUAUGCAACUAAAUACGUCGUGUUAAUGGUAAAAAAUUUUGUUGUUCGUAUUUUGAAUCAUUAAGAAUGAAAAGUUAUUUUCUCAUGUUUAUUUUGAUCUCAUUUUUUAUUGUAUUGUUUCUCAAUUGAAUAAAUUUUUUUAUUAUUAGUUAAAACAUCUUGUAGGGGCCAUACAAAGAGUUUUGGAUAAUAGAGCUUCCUUCAAUUCAAAUAGCAACAAGGUAAGUUCGUAAAUUCAAGUACUCCAUUAUCAAGUUGUUUGACAGUGUGUAUAUGUAUAUUCAUAAACCAGUGAUUUAUUUAGUUGGUGGUUUGAUGUAUCUAUGUGUUUAUGUAUAUGAGUAUAUAACUAGCUAUUUAUGGGAAUGGUGCCAAUAUAUUGGAUUUGAUGUAUCUAUGUGAUGCCAUCUGGUUACUUAUCCCUGAAACUUAUUUUGUUAUUCCCUUUUUUACCAUUCAUUUGUUUUGUUAUUUUUCUUUCAUAGGUUAAGAAAUGACAAUCGAUAAGAGUUAGACAUUGCAGACUAAUAGGUUGUCACAUGAAUAUAGAAAUGGUGUUAUGUCUUUCAUAGAAAGAGCUCGAAAUUUCUUAAACCAAGAAGGAAAGACAUGAUGUCCAUGUUGCUCGUGUAAAUGGUAUAUUGCAAGAUUUAGAUACAAUUAAAAGCCAUCUAAUAGUCUAUGGGUUUCAAAGCAGUUAUCGCACAUGGGUAUUUCAUGGAGAAAGUUAUCCUACGACCACUUCUAAUAUUACGACUCCUGGUGACAUAGAGGAGAGCAGUGAUGAUGAAUUUGUUGAUCCAAUGUUAAAUGUAAUACUGGACUUCGCUUGUUCAAGUUCCAAUCAAGUAGAGCCUAACGAUGAUGGAUCACCACAGGUUGCUUUUGAUAAUCAAAACGAGCCAAAAGAAUUCGAGGAGUUUGAUGACAUGUUGACGAAUGUGGAAAGAGUGUUGUAUCCUGGAUGCACCAAAUUUUCUAGAUUGACUUUCUUAGUCAAGAUAAUGCUCAUUAAGGUAAUAAAUAAAUGGAGUAAUAAAUCUUUUGAUAUGUUGCUCAAACUUUUGAAGGAUGCAUUUCCUAAUGGGACAGGGAUACCAACAUCAUAUAAUGAAGCAAAGACAAUAUUGCGUGCUUUGGGUUUAGGAUAUGAGUCAGUUCAUGUUUGUAAAAAUGAGAUAUGAGUCAAUUCAUGUUUGUAAAAAUGAUUGCGCUUUAUUUUGGAAAGAAAAUGCUAAAUUAGACAAAUGUCCGAUAUGUGGAGAAAGCUACUGGACGGGACAACUUUUUGCCCCUUUUUUUUUUGUACAUUUUCAAAAUUUCAAGUUAUGUUAUAGUUAGAGAAU